AGCUUACCAGUGAUGUCGAAAAAAUAAAUGUCUGAACAAAUGACUGUACAGUGAUAAAAUGAUUUACUCUGAGGUGAGCC